rnacentral:rRNA from 1 species
UACGGAGGGUGCAAGCGUUAUCCGGAUUCACUGGGUUUAAAGGGUGCGUAGGUGGGCUGGUAAGUCAGUGGUGAAAUCUCCGGGCUUAACUCGGAAACUGCCAUUGAUACUAUCAGUCUUGAAUACCGUGGAGGUCAGUAGAAUAUGUCAUGUAGCGGUGAAAUGCUUAGAUAUGACAUAGAAUACCAAUUGCGAAGGCAGCUGGCUACACGAAAUAUUGACACUCAGGCACGAAAGCGUGGGGAUCAAACAGG